rnacentral:rRNA from 1 species
ACUUCAAACCUAGUUCUUCAUUAAAUAAUACCGCCUUCUACACAAUCAGCACAAAAUAAAACAUUUUUUUAGUCUAGUAAAAGUGAUUGAAAACCUAAAAAGAAACUACAAAUAUAGUACCGCAAGGGAAAGGUGAAAUAACAUUAAAUAUACUAAAGUAAUAAAAAGCAGAGAUUAACUCUCGUACCUUUUGCAUCAUGAUUUAGCUAGUCAAAACAAGCAAAGUGUAACUUAAGUUUGCACCCCCGAAACUAAGUGAGCUACUUUAAAACAGCCAUAAGGGCCAACUCGUCUCUGUCGCAAAAGAGUGAGAAGAUUUUUAAGUAGAAGUGACAAGCCUACCGAACUUAGAGAUAGCUGGUUAUUUGGGAAAAGAAUAUAAGUUCUGCCUUAAGUUUUUAAUAACACCCAAUCUCCAAGUAGCUUAAGAGUUAUUCAAAUAAGGUACAGCCUAUUUGAAACAGGAUACAACCUAAAACAUAGGGUAAUAUAAAUUCACCAUAUAAUUAAGUUGGCCUAAAAGCAGCCACCUUUUAAAAAGCGUCAAAGCUUAAUUUUAUAAUUAUAAUAAUAACAAUAAAAACACUAAACCCAUCUCCAAUACCAAAUUACUUUAUAAUACUAUAAAAAAUAUAAUGCUAAAACUAGUAAUAAGAAAAUGAUUUUCUCCUAAAUACAAGUGUAACGCAGAAUAAACUAACCACUGCUAAUUACUGUCCUUAGUUUAAUAGUAGUAACAGCACUAGAAAACUCUACUACACUUAACAUUAAUCUAACACAAGAGUAUUACAGGAAAGAUUAAAAGAAAAGGAAGGAACUCGGCAAACUAAAGCCUCGCCUGUUUACCAAAAACACCGCCUCUUGCUUUACAUAAGAGGUCCCGCCUGCCCUGUGACUUAGUUUAACGGCCGCGGUAUUAUAACCGUGCGAAGGUAGCAUAAUAAAUUGUUCUCUAAAUAAGGACUAGUAUGAAAGGCAUCACGAGGGCUUAACUGUCUCCCUUUUCCAAUCAAUGAAACUGAUCUUCUCGUGAAGAAGCGAGAAUAAAUUUAUAAGACGAGAAGACCCCAUGGAGCUUUAAACUUCUCACCACUUAUUUAUCAUUACACCACUAUAUAUAAUAAAAAUGUUAAUUGAAAGUUUUCGGCUGGGGUGACCCUGGAGAAAAAUAAAUCCUCCAGGAUGAACGGAAUAAAAUCCUAAUCAAAGAGCUACAGCUCUAAGAAUCAAAACACUGACAUCAUUGACCCAACCAUUUGAUCAACGAACCAAGUUACCCUGGGGAUAACAGCGCAAUCCAUUUCAAGAGCCCCUAUCGACAAAUGGGUUUACGACCUCGAUGUUGGAUCGGGGUAUCCCAGUGGCGCAGCCGCUACUAAAGGUUCGUUUGUUCAAC